UACGUAGGGGGCUAGCGUUGUCCGGAAUCAUUGGGCGUAAAGAGCGUGUAGGCUGCUCGGUAAGUCCGCUGUAAAAGUCAAAGGCUCAACCUUUGAAUGUCAGUGGAUACUGCCGGGCUAGAGUCCGGAAGAGGCGAGUGGAAUUCCCGGUGUAGUGGUGAAAUGCGUAGAUAUCGGGAGGAACACCAGUGGCGAAGGCGACUUCCUGGCCUGUUCUUGACGCUGAGGCGCGAAAGCUAGGGGAGCAAACGGG
rnacentral:rRNA from 1 species